GGAAGAGAAAGAGGAAGAGGAGGAGAAGGAUGAGAAAAAUGAGGAGAAAGAGAAAGAGGAAAAAGAGGAUGAGAAUGAGGAGGAAGAGAAAGACGACAAAUAUUACUUACAACUAUCCUUUCAUUCAUUAACCUUAUAUUUUUAAGAAUUUCCAUGUUAUUUAUGUAUGAUAUUAUCCAUUUACAUUCUAAAUUGUCAAUAAUUCAAAUCGUCCAAAAUGUAAAUCAAUCAUCACUUAAGAUAAUUUAUACAUAACAAAUAAUCAUUUAAAAGUUUUAAGUUGUAUAAUAUAAACUGAUAAAUUUCAUUAAUUUCAACAAUAAAUUCUUCAAUGAUAAG
rnacentral:lncRNA from 1 species